GACGAACGCUGGCGGUGUGCUUAACACAUGCAAGUCGAACGGUAAGGCCCUUUCGGGGGUCCACGAGUGGCGAACGGGUGAGUAACACGUGAGUAACCUGCCCUCAUCUCUGGGAUAACAGUCGGAAACGGUUGCUAAUACUGGAUAUGAGCCUGCAAGGCAUCUUGUGGGUUGGAAAGAUUUUUUGGUUGGGGAUGGACUCGCGGCCUAUCAGCUUGUUGGUGAGGUAGUGGCUCACCAAGGCUUCGACGGGUAGCCGGCCUGAGAGGGCGACCGGCCACAUUGGGACUGAGAUACGGCCCAAACUCCUACGGGAGGCAGCAGUGGGGAAUAUUGCACAAUGGACGGAAGGCUGAUGCAGCAACGCCGCGUGCGGGAUGACGGCCUUCGGGUUGUAAACCGCUUUCAAUUGUGACGAAGCUUUUUGUGACGGUAGCAGUAGAAGAAGCACCGGCUAACUACGUG
rnacentral:rRNA from 1 species